AGGUUCCUUGGCCGAGUGGUUAGGUAGCGGUCUGCAAAACCGUCGACAGCAGUUCGAAUCUGCUAGGAACCUCCC
rnacentral:tRNA from 1 species